rnacentral:rRNA from 1 species
UACAGAGGGUGCGAGCGUUAAUCGGAAUUACUGGGCGUAAAGCGUGCGUAGACGGUUAUGUAAGUCGGGUGUGAAAGCCCCGGGCUCAACCUGGGAAUUGCAUUCGAGACUGCAUAGCUAGGGUGCGGAAGAGGGAAGCGGAAUUUCCGGUGUAGCGGUGGAAUGCGCAGAUAUCAGGAGGAACACCAAUAGCGAAGGCAGCUCGCUGGGACGUAACUGACGCUGAGGAGCGAAAGCGUGGGGAGCGAACAGG